rnacentral:rRNA from 1 species
AUGGGCAAGAAGAGGAAACAAGAUCAAUGGAAAGAUGACUCCAGCCCUUCUGAUGGCAAGCGCCAUAGGUCUUGCCACUGGGAGAAUGGGGAGACGAGCAGGCCAAAUGAUGGGAUGUCGCCUCGGGAGGGGUCUUCAGAUAUCGUUCGCGCCGUUAUCGAAUUGAAAGACUUCAUGCAGAUUCAACUGUGCACGGAGGAAAAAUUCAAAAGGAAUAUCCAAAAGCUUAAGGAAAAGAGGAAAAAAGACAAGAUCAAGCAUAAGGAAGAUCUCAGAGUACUCAAGGAAGACCUCAUCAGAAUAUUCAAGGAAGAUCACGAAGUGCUCAAAUCAAAAAUCCAAGAAAUGCAAAAAGAAGCAUGUAUUGAAGUAAAUCAUUACAAGGCAUCUCCAUCUCAGAGAUCACAACUAUGCCAACCAACAAGAUUUCGACUAAAAAUUGAAAAUUGUGUGAAGAAAAUAAUAUACAGAAAGGGAAUUGUAGAGACCAAGGAUGGUGGAGAUCACAUAAAAGUUGUCAUGUAUGAUGGUGACAAUCGAAUUGCAUCUGACCAUCCUCUUGCUUCUGUAAGAGUUGAGCUAGUUGUCAUUAAAGGAGGGUUCAAUGAAUCUAAACCUACACCAGUUUCUUGGUCUAAAGAGGAGUUUGAGAAAAACAUUGUACAACCGCCAGAAGGAAUCAAAAGGGCAAGCCCUAAACGGAAACUGUCAGCAAUCUUCUCAACAAAUUCCAACGCCAACCUUGUGGCAGCCAACCAACAACCAAUCAACACAACAUGGGCAAGCCCUAAACGGCAACUGUCAGCAAUCUUCUCAACAAAUUCCAAUGCCAACCUUGUGGCAGCCAACCAACAACCACUCAACACAACAUGUUUAUUGCCUCGAAAUUUCCCAGACCGUGGGAAGCAUUCAGGAUUUCCGGCUGAUGUUACUGCAGAGGAUAAUGGACUGAGUUAUCCACCAGCUACCAUGCCACCUGUUCAGGGAAAUGGGCAAGCCCUAAAUGGCAACAGUCAGCAAUCUUCUCAGCAAUUUCCAACGCCAAUCUUGUGGCAGCCAACCAGCAACCACUCAAUGCAACAUGGCGAAGGAUGUAGUCUGCCACCACCUAGCAUGUCGAAUCCAUUGCCAGUAGCAGAUGAUAAUACUUCAUAUUCAGUUCCAGGAUAUUGUCCAUCUUUACCUGCUUUUGGACAAGACCACUGCACUAGCUUACCUAAUGCAAGUUCUAAACUUGAAUUUCGGAACUUCCCAGUGUACGUGUCGUUUAAUGAUAUUCCCCAGGGUGAAAAUCUAGAUUCUGACCCUGAGUGGUUGGCUCUAGUGGUAGCGGCGAUUGAGCGUCGCUCCCUUAUUGAAGGCGUUACUCUUGAAGAACCUCGUCAUUCAUGUGGUGUCAUGACAUGGUUGGGGAAUUCCAUUCUUGGAUGGGAAGAAUUUGUUGAAGAUGUAAGUCAUUCAAAUGUCCGGCCACCAGUUGAAGAGCAUUAUGUAGAUGCGUCAUUUAGAUGUAAUCAAGUGCUACUUCAAUGGGAUGAGCCUCAUAUGGAGGUCAAGAAACGUUGGAACUUUCUUGAUCAGCUCAUGCCGCUGUAUAGCACACAAUCAGGGUUUUAUAAAGAAGAUUUCCCCAGUACGAGCCUCAUGGAUAAAACCCAUAAGUUACUGGCCAGUAUUUCAUCAGACGAUUCUAUUUGGAAGAUAAUUACCAGUGUUACGAGUCGAGCCACACAAACUCCUCAGAGGAGAGGUGUUCUCAUUCGGCCCAUUGAGCCAUAUGAUUCAGAUGAUGGGCCACCAAUUAAGAAGCAAAGGACCAAAUAUCAAUUGCGAUUUGUCAAUACGGUGUGCAAUGACUACUUCACACGGGAGAAUAUCAAAUCAGAGGAUGGAAAUCUCUUAAAGGUGGCUUUGUAUGAUGAGAACAAUCUGGUUGUCACAUCUGGUCCGCUGUCUGCAGCUUCUGUGGAGAUCGUACUACUUCAUGGUGAUUUCAAUGCUGAAGGUCAAGAUUAUUGGACAUCAGAGGAGUUUAGUGACUGCAUAGUGCAUCCACAAUCUGUAAAAGAACCACCAGCCUUGGGAGGUGAUCGUGUCUUGACACUGAUUCAUGGAGAAGCAGACCUUGGUAAUGUCUAUUUCCGAACUUCCUCCUUCCAUGCUAGAACUGAAAAGUUCAAGAUGGGUGUUGAGAUAAAAAAUGUUAAAGUGAGCACGGAGGAAAAAUUCAAAACAAAAAUUGGAAAGCUUAAGGUAAAAAGGGAAAAAGAUAAGAACAAAUAUGAGGAAGAUCUCAGAAUACUCAUGGAAGACCACGAAGAGUUCACAUUAAAAACCGAAGAUAUGCGAAAGGAAGGGCGUGCUGAGUUAAAUCAUUACAUUCUAUCUCCAUCUCAGAGAUCACAAGUAAUCCAAUCAACAAGAUUUCGUCUAGUAAUUGAAAAUAGUGUGAGCAGAACAAUUUACAAAAAUAGUACUAUAAAGACCGAGGAUGGCGGAGAUCACAUAAAAGUUGUCAUGUACGAUGGUGGCAAGCCAAUUGCAUUUGACCACCCUCUUGCUUCGGUAACAGUUGACCUAGUUGUCAUUGAAGGAGGGUUCGAUGAAAAGCGAGAUUCGUGGUCUAAAGAGGAGUUUGAGGAAAGCAUAAUAGAACCAAGAAAAGGAAUCAAAAGGCUAGUGAAAAACGGUACAUUUGAUUUGAUUGAUGGGAGGUGUGAUCAUCAUGGUGCCAUUAUUAUGGACAAUUCACAACGAAUGGAAGUUAAACUUGGAGUAAGGAUCACAGUGCAUACAGACAUAAGAGUUAUUGAAGGGGUAUCAAAUCCUUUCAAAAUGAAGGAAGUCCGGACAAAAGUACGUGGAAAGAGUACUAUUCCAUACAAGGACGAUGCGGUACAUCGACUGAAGAAAAUUGCCCUGAAGGGAAAAUAUUGCAACAAUCUUGAGGAUAAAUAUAUUACCAAAGUGAAGCACUUGUUGCGCCAUUAUCACAGAGAUAAAUUUGGUCUCCAAAAGCUUGCUGGCAUGAAGAAAGAGGAUUGGAAUACCAUGAUUAAUCAUGCCACCAUGUGUGUUCCUGGGGAUGAGAUCUAUUCCUAUUGGGUUCAAGAGGAAAACUGUGAAGUCUUAUUCAAUGAUUUCUAUGAUCUUGUUGGUAAGAUGACUGAUGACUAUGUUCCAUACAGUGUCAAUGACGUCGAUCAGUUUCCGCGGCAUAAAGUGAACAACUGGAAAAUGUCUGCAUAUAAGAAGUUUGACGAGCGGGAGAGCUCAGGGGGUCUUAUCCCUGAUUACUUCAUGAACAAUGGCCGCCCAGUCCAUGCAGUGCCCCUGAACAAUGAUGCAGGUCCUUCUGUACAAGCUACUAGUACAUGGCAAUAUCUUAAUGACAUGGCUGCACAACACGGCCUUGACAGAAAUGCAGUCUACCAAUUCCCAGAUGCUAGGAGUCCGGCUUCCGAAAAUACAAAUCAAAACAAUGUGAUUCCUCCAACGACAACAGCAGAUGGGAGGCCACCAAACAGGGCUGUUUAUUUUAGUUCUAUUCUGAUCUGCAUUCAUGGACGUUUCUGUGCUCUCAAGUGCAAUGGAAGUGCUGUUCUGGCGCUCGGUGUUGGCUCCAGUCAGCUCAUUCUUCAUGUUCCUGAUCUUCAACGUAUCCCUGGCCCUCUCGAGGUCCCUGAUCUUCUCCUCGAUCAGAUGCAGAUCCUCGUGGUCAGACUGAACUCCUGCAUGGACACCCAGGUGAAGCUCGCAGUGGUGGUCAAGGUGAUGGGCCGCACCGGGUCGAGGGGUCAGGUGACCCAGGUGAGAGUCAAGUUCCUGGAUGACCAGAACCGUCUCAUCAUGAGGAACGUCAAGGGGCCUGUCCGGGAGGGCGACAUCCUCACCCUGCUCGAGUCUGAGCGGGAGGCCAGGAGGCUGCGCUAA